CGUGCACGUUAGGAACCGUUAAGAAACCGCCGAGGAAGGAGCAGCUGAGGCGUGGAGGAGGAGAUCUGUGGAGUUUAACAUGAAACCACAAGGUUCUCAUUAGGAAUGAAAAUAAUUCCCUCAUUCCAGAAUAGGAGACAACCAUGAACCUACCAACUUUACUUGGUCAAAACUGACCUUGUUAUUUUUUUGUGAUGUAUUUUCAAUAUGAUCGGAAAAAUGAAUCAAUUUUUUUUUGGUUCUAGAUAAUGCUGAAAUAGCCCUAUAUAAAGCAUGAAAUUUAUUUAUUGUAAGUACUAGUGCCAAAGAAAAUUAGUUUUCUAGUACAAAAAUCUUCAGCUAUUUUAAACAUUGCUGUGGUUAUCUUUUUUUGUUUCUGGUAUCUCUUGAAUAAUUUUCUCUGUGUAGCACUUGUUGAAGUCGGUGUAUCACCCAUGUCGUCACCGAUAACAGAAAGGCCAGAAACCACAUCAAGGAUGUUACGAGGAGCAGUAGCAGGUCUGGUGCCAGAAUAGGAACAGGUGGAGUGUCAUUGUUCACAUUACGGCCAAUGUAUAUCAGUUGUUUCUAUGGAAUAAAAAUUACGUCAGCAUCCUGAGUAGGAUUCAGAGCUUCACCUGGGACAUGAACAGAAACAGAUUCCUGAUCAGUAGUGAAUCUACCACAUUUGUGUUCAGCUCUAGGACAAGCUUCAAGAGCCGAGUGGCAUUUUGAAAGGGUCCAUGAUGUCACCCAAUGUGGUGGCCAAGAGUGGGCUCAGGGUCAGCAUGUGGUCUGCUCCUUGCAUGCCCAGUGUAAAUACCUAAAGGAAGUGUGGGAUUUAGGGCAGUGUUCUGAGCUAUACCUACAUCAUUUUUAUCAGAUGCCUCACCAGUGUCACCAGCACAUGCAGGAGCUGGCUCAAUGUUGGCAGCAGCAUCCUGAGCUGCAUCCAAGUCACCUUUCUCAUCCACCUCUCCAGUGUCACCUCUCACCAGCACAUGCAGAAGGAUUUGGCUCAAUGUCAGCAGUGAAAAAAAAAAAGCACAGCAAUACUAUGCUCAUAUGGUACAUAAAGAAAAACUUCUGCCUUCUUCAAACUUUAAGGAAAUUUUGAGAUGUUAGUUUUCAUUUCAUAGAUUUCACUCAUUCGCACCUAUCAGUGUCAGAGUCUUGAUUUAUAGUCCCUAAAUGGUUGUGUGCUCAGUCUAAGCCACUGAUAGCCUGUAACUUCUGCUUCCUUUCUACUUGAGUAAAAGGCCCAGAAUUUUUAGAAAUCUUGAAAAGGACCUGCUCAUCUUUAUGCCUUCCUUGCAUCUGCUCUUUGCUACCUGACCUCAUCAUUCUCUGUAUUAUGGGAAGAUUUAAAAAAAAAGUAAAUGUGUCCUCUCCUGUCGUUAUGACUGGGAUUUUGCAUUCCAGCCACAUUAAGAGAAUGUGACAACGAGGGGCUUUGGAACAAAAGGAACCGCUCUCUUCUGCACUGCAUUCCCCAUGGCCUUUCACAGUUGCCCAUUGGGGUCCUGGGAUAGCAGAACAGUGAGGGUGACUUCUGAAAUGCAUGAACAAAGUUUGCACUAUCCACAGCAGAGGAGAACCGUGGAGCUGCAAGUAAGGAUUCUGGGAGAUGCCUUCUAAAUUCUCACUCCUUAACCGUGACUGUUAUCCCUGGAGGAUGGAUGCAAUGGUCUGUUCCAGCACCACUGUGGUGGCUUGAAUGAGAACAGCCCCCACGGGCUCAAAUAUUUGGAUGCUUGGUCUCCAGUUAGUGGAACUAUUUUGGGGAGGAUUAGGAGGUGUGGCCUUGUUGGAGGAGGUGUGCCACUGGGGGUGGGCUUUGAGGUUUCAGAAAACUGGUUGGUGCCAUUUCCAGUGAGCUCUCUUCCCUGUGUGGGUCAGCUGUCAGCUCUCAGUUGCUGCUCCAGCACUAUGCCUGCCUGAACCAUGGGUGACAGAUCUGUAUGUAUCACAUUGGAACCAUAAGCCCCACUCCAUAUAAACCCUUCUAAAA